CCCGAGCCCGGAGCUGCUGCUGCUGCUGCGCUGCCACCCCCCCCCGAAACGGCUGCAGCCCCCCUGCAUCAAGGUGCCGCUGCUGCUGCCGGGGCUGCGUUACCUGUUCGGUACCUGGCUGGAGCCGGGGGAGGGGCCGGGGAGGCUGCAGGUGCUGGUGCUGCUCCCAGGCCGGGAGGGGCCUGUGCUGACGGCUCAGGUGGGGCUGCCCCCCGUGGCCACCUGAGACAC